UUCCCUUAACCCAACAGCACACACACACACGAAGAGGAGGGUGAGAGGAACAGAGAAGACACAGCGCAGAAAGGAGAAGGAGACCGCCCAGCUCGUCGCCAUCGCGCCGCUCAGGGCCACCGCCUCGCCAUAGCCUCCCUCAUCUCAUUGUCAUCGCCUAGCUGCCCGCCAUCAUCAUCGCUGGUGCUAACGCAGAACGGGAGGAGAGAGCAUGCGCGUGGGGAAAGAGAAGAAGCCACUACCCUGCGUCUGUCGUCAUCUUCGUGGGUUAGUGUCACCGCCGUCGUCCAUGGGUGACAUCGAAGAGAGAGUUCGUAACGAGAGAAGAGGCAUGCUGUCGUUUGGAGACGCGAGUCCAUUUGCCGUCACCGUAGCGAAUGGCGUCGCCAUUGCUGUCACGUCUAGCUGCUGCUGCCACAUGGCCCUUCGCCACUGCUGGAGGUGAGUUACCGGAGCCCUCUGCCACCAGAAACCAAAAUCCGAGCUACCCAGGAAACCACCAGUAGAACCACUGCUCUUUUGGCCGCUGCCCAGCCACCGUCAAGCCAGGUCCGCCGUCGCCGUUGUGACGUGCCGAGAGGGAGGCAGCCUGCGGAUAGGAAGAGAGACGUGAUGGGCCUGUCCUGAGCUGCUUCUUUCUUGUUUCUCGUUGCGGGCUGAGUUCGAGUUAUUGCAUGUCGCAGUUAGAGCUGUUGUUGCUGUUACGAGUAGUUGGAGCUGAGGCUGCCUCUGCCGCCAGGAACACUCUGCCGGUGAGGGUUUUAAAUUUGUGAUUUCUGUCAUUUUGGGUUUCGAGAAGGUUUUGAUGCUGGGUGGUUAUUAUAGCUGAUCCACUGGAGCUUCUGGCUACUACCAGAGCUGUUGCUGGGUCGGUUCAGAAUCGCAGCUGUCUCAUUGUGUUAUUUUGAGUCGUAGUGGUUGUUGAGAACGCAAGUGGAGCUGAGGUUUUGGUUGCAGUCGAUUCGGGUCAAGACGAAAGGAGUCAGUUGACGAUUUUGGGUUGUGGUUUCGACGAGUCGAGGUAGGAACUUUUUAUACAAAUUAAUUUAUUUUAAAUUGAAAAUUGUUAUAAAUAGAUAUGCUGUGCAAAACGUAUUUCUGGGGAUUAUAUGAGUCUAAUGAAUUGUCUGAUUUUGUCUUGAAUGAAUAUGGUUGCCUGUUUAAUUGGGAUAAUGUCUGCUUUGAUAAAUUGGAGAUUUCUGGAUUUGGUUGAUUGAAAUGAUUUUUGAUAAUCUAAAGUUUGCGUUUUUUUUUUUUGGAAACUGAUAUGAUCUUGAACUUGUUGGAAAGAGUUGAGGAUUGGUUUGGUUGGGAUGCGGAUAGGGUGGCAAAGCCCAAGUUUUAGGGGAAAUGCUGCUAAAAUUUCUAUAAAAUCUGAGACUUUAUUUGACACGGUAUUUUAAAAAGGGAAUGGGUUAUGCCUUAAAACUGUAUUACCAAUAAAUGAAUUAAUUUUGAACCCCUUUAUUAAGAAAAUUAUUAUAUUUUGAAGGUGAACUAUUUUAGAAGAGAACCAUGUUCUAAAGUCGAUUUAAAGAUGAAAAUAAUUAAGUUUGGAAUUUGAUCAAAUAAGCAAAUUUGUAGGAGUUUUAAUGAAGUUCGAUUAACUAAUUUCACUUUACAACAUUUUAAGAAAAGGUUGAAGUAUUUUCUAAAACUUUGAUUUAGUGAAACUAAAACACUUUCCGAGCCUUUGGGAACCAAUUUAAGAAUGAAACAAAAAAUUGGUGUUUGGUUUAAAUGUUAUAAUUGCUAUUGAUUGUGUUUGAACUACAUUAAUUGUAAUUGUGUUUGAUUGGUUGGUUUGUGAUGAAUUGGUUGAUGAUUGAGUUGUUUGGGCUGGGGGCCGUGUUGGAUUGGAUGGGAUUGAGGCCGUGAUUGGUAUAUUGAGUUCUACUUCUGUAUAAAGUAUCUGACCGGUUCAGCAUAGAUUUAAUGAAUCUAUGCUUGGAACGGGAUGAUCAUUUAUACCGCAUAGGUAGCUGCUUUCAUGGUUGCGGUCUAGAAAAGUAUGAAAAAUCAAACUCUUACAGCAUAGACUUAACUGAAGCUAUGUUUGGGACAUGUUGGUCAUUCAUACUGUCUAGGAAAAACUUUUCAGAUUUUACAAGAAAAGAAAAAGGUUUUGUUUAAACAUAUUUGUUAAAUUUAUCCAGUCUUCAAAAAGGGAUUUUCUGGAUUUCGAAUGUGUACCUAAGGUUUUUCGGAAGACUCAUAAGACGAGCGAUGAUCACUGUACUCUAAGAAUAAUUUUAUUUUACGUAUCUUGUUAUAGCAAUUUCUGUAAAUCCUAUAGUGAGAACAAGCGAGGACGACGUUCUCACUCUCCUACAGGUUAUUCCUUUUUAGGACAUAGACGACGAAGCUUCAGAAGAGUUAUGUCCAUUUUCUGUUUAUUCAGCAUUUUUGUAUUAUCUUAGCUAUUAUUUUUUCCUCGCCUUUAUCUUUAUUAAGUUUGUAAGAGGGAUAGAAAAUUAUGAUAUGUAUGUUUGUAAGCUAGUGUUAUAUAUAUAUCUUAAGGUAUUGUAUCUGGUUUCUAUGUACAUGUAUGUUUAUGUUUUUAACGAA